rnacentral:rRNA from 1 species
AUUGAACGCUGGCGGAAUGCUUUACACAUGCAAGUCGAGCGGCAGCACGGGGGCAACCCUGGUGGCGAGCGGCGAACGGGUGAGUAAUACAUCGGAACAUGCCCAGUCGUGGGGGAUAACACUUCGAAAGAAGUGCUAAUACCGCAUACGUCCUGAGGGAGAAAGCGGGGGAUCUUCGGACCUCGCGCGAUUGGAGUGGCCGAUGUCAGAUUAGCUAGUUGGUGGGGUAAAGGCCUACCAAGGCAACGAUCUGUAGCUGGUCUGAGAGGAUGGUCAGCCACACUGGGACUGAGACACGGCCCAGACUCCUACGGGAGGCAGCAGUGGGGAAUGUUGGACAAUGGGGGCAACCCUGAUCCAGCCAUUCCGCGUGAGUGAAGAAGGCCUUCGGGUUGUAAAGCUCUUUCGGCAGGAACGAAACGGCGAGCUCUAACAUAGCUUGCUAAUGACGGUACCUGAAGAAGAAGCACCGGCUAACUACGUGCCAGCCGCCGCGGUAACAC